rnacentral:snRNA from 1 species
AUCGCUUCUCGGCCUUUUGGCUAAGAUCAAGUGUAAUAUAGUUCAAAAGAUUUUUUUUUUUAUGUAGACAUUAA